GCCCCUGUAGUCUAAUGGCUAAGACGUUGCCCUCCUAAGGCAGAGGUUGCAGGUUCGAGUCCUGCCUGGGGUA
rnacentral:tRNA from 1 species